rnacentral:rRNA from 1 species
AUUUGAAAUCUCCGACCCUCGCGGGUCGGCGAAUUGUAGUUGCGAGAAGCACUUUCUAGGCGGAUCGGUGGUGCCUAAGUUGCUUGGAACAGUACGUCAUAGAGGGUGACAACCCCGUCUGUGGCUCGGCCGACCGCUCACGAUGUGCUUUCGAAGAGUCGGGUUGUUUGGGAAUGCAGCCCAAAAAUGGUGGUAAACUCCAUCUAAAGCUAAAUACUGACGUGAGACCGAUAGCGAACAAGUACCGUGAGGGAAAGAUGAAAAGAACUUUGAAAAGAGAGUUAAAAAGUACGUGAAACCGUUUGAAGGGAAACGAAUGGACUCAGCAAUGCGCCCUUUGAGAUUCAGCCGGGCGGUUGUGGCGGUCCGGGGCUUGCGGAUCUGAAUGGACCGCGGUCUCGGGCCCGUCGCUUCCGACCGUCGCACUUCUCUUGGACGCGAGUCAACGUCGGUUGGGACUGGGCCUCAAAGGUUCCGGGAAGGUAGGUCCGGACGCUCGCGUUCGGACUGUUACAGCCCGGUUCUCUCGCGGCUCGGGCCCGACCGAGGCGGAUGCAGCACAUGCCUCUUCUGGCUAGGGUCCCGUCCUUCCGGCCGGUUGUCGAAUGCGGUGGACUGCUUGCAGUGCUCUGCGACUGCUGCCGGUCGUUGGGGUGGUGAUCUCGUACCAUGUGCUAAGGACGUUGGCGGUCAUAUGGGUCCAUCCGACCCGUCUUGAAACACGGACCAAGGAGUCUAACAUGUGCGCGAGUCUUAGGGUGCUUGAAACCCAGAGGCAGAAUGAAAGUGAAGACGGCUUCGGCCGCUGAGGCGAGAUUCCGGCUCUCGUAGCCGGACGCAUCGUUGACCGACCUAUUCUACUCUUAGGAAGGUUUGAGUAAGA